CUGGUUUCGAAGCGGCGCUGACACCGACUGUCGCAGCCCCUCCAGAUGCGGGGCGACGCCGCGCAGCGGAAGCCCAGGUUGGCGGCCCACUGCUGCGUCGGACGCGCCGCUCCGCGGACUGCAUCCUCUGAGAGUAUAUUUGUGUUAGCUGGCUGCCCGGAAGCCCUCCACCGCUCGAUUUGUUUUGUGAUCCUGCAAGGGCCCUUCCCGCCUCUGAUGACAGCGCCGAAUGACUCAGAGAGAGAGAAGAGGCGACGUCCAUAAAAAGAAAACAACACACACAAGAACUGUCCCCCUUGCCCCUUCUCCCAGCUCGGAGCCGCAACAGGGGCCGGCGCUGCAGCGAACGGCGUCUCUGCUGCAGAGGCAACUACCAGGGCGGCAGCACCGGGCAGAUCAGCCCUUGCGUCCGUCCAGCCGAAGAGUGCGUUUCCGAUGGCCUGUCGUCUCUGUGCAGCGACGCUUAAUUUGAGAGCUCAGCGAAGGGGAUCAGAUUCCUCUCCCCGUUUCUGCCUGUCCCUCAAGCAGCGCGAAGCAGGACCCGCUGUCUCCCCAGGGGCGACGCUACCCAGCGCGCGGGAACACCCACCGUCACAGCGGAGAAGCACCGAAAUUUGGGAUUGGCUGUCUGCUGGCAUUUCGAGUAUCAAAUAGCCAACAAAACCGUUUUUAGAUGUGGGGCUGCUCCAUCAGCGUUGUCUGCAGCCCUGCUGAUAUCCGCUUGCCAUGGCGCUCCUGUUAUUGACUACAGAAAGCAGAUGUGCAUGUCUACACUGCAAAUAUCAGUUUCCAGAAAAGAACGGAAACCUCUUCCAAACUUUUGUUCACUCUCAUUGCAACAUAUAAGCUGCUGCUCGAUCCGACCCGCUACGCGCCGUGGACGGACAGAGAAGUUACUGAGAGCUUCCCACAGUAGUUCUUCACCUGCGCUACUCUUCAUUCAAUACCCGGCAUCAUCCAGCUCGGAGGCAGCGCCGGGGAAUUCUGAUUUUCCCCUCCGACGUUCCCCCUUGCAACUUUCUAGCUUAGCAAAUUGAAAUCUCCAGCCUCAUUUCCAUCUGCAGCGUGUGCUGCUCCCCAGCAGAUUGAUUUCUGUGCGGGAGUGAACCGCAAUACUUAAAAGGUAGCAAGAUCUACUGUACGCCAAGAGCCUUACUCUGCUGAUACCUGCAGGCUGCCGCAGCCUGGCCUAGGUGGAAAGGUGACAAAUGUCCUCAUAAAGCCGGGAGAGCGUGGACAGGAGCAAGUCAUUCUUCUUUGGUUUAAUUACUGAAAAUCAUUUGAAACCUACGGAAAGCCCAUCACUUCUGCGCGGUUUGUUUGAAUGCAAAAUAAACUUACGCUGAAUGGCA
rnacentral:lncRNA from 1 species